UGCGCACUGCGUUGUAAUAAUAAAAGACCGUAUCUCGUUGAAACUUAAAACUGUGUCCUCACAACUUUUUUGUCAUGGCUUAGAGUCAAGGUCAUGACAAAAUGGGGGCUCGUCUCGUUCUGAACCCGGCUGUUAAUGUGAGUAGAUACUGAUCUUUAGAGCAUUAAAAUCACGUAGUGAGUUCGCACGUUCCACUCAGCUGAUGCCUCGCGGUGGGAGGUAAAGAAAUUGUCUGUGUGGACGCAGUAGUUUUUUGUUUUCAGUAUUGUGGGAGAUUGGAAACAACAUUCUACUUCUGUAUUCGGCAACGGUAGUGAACUGGUCACAGAGCAGAACGCUGAUCGAUCAUUGGCCGGGUUGUAUGGCCAGGUACGUCCUCCUGGUGAAAUGGAGGACAGUGCAUGUGGUUACUUCCUUGAAGACUCCCUGCUGGUGCACCAGUUGCUGGGAUCUCAGGGAACGGUACAAUGAGCUAGUGGGGUAAUGUAUGAGGUUUUUGUCAAGUCAGCAGCUUGAUGUUUAUUACUUCCGGACAGAAGUUGGUUGUUAACACAGUUGUCCGUAGUGAUGCGUAUUUUUUGCAUUUAAUGGGGAUCUUUGUUUGACUGGUUGUAAUUUUGGGUUUAGUUUAUUGGUUAAAUUAAUGUUUAGUUGGGGGCUGUUGGGAUUCCAGUUGGAAGCCCGCCUUUUGUGGGAGGGGGGUGUCAUGGCCUACUGGC
ensembl:lncRNA